rnacentral:rRNA from 1 species
GACAGAGGGUGCAAACGUUGUUCGGAAUUACUGGGCGUAAAGCGUGUGUAGGCGGUCUCAUAAGUCGGAUGUGAAAGCCCCGGGCUCAACCCGGGAAGUGCAUUCGAAACUGCGAGGCUAGAGUAUCGGAGAGGUUGGUGGAAUUCUCGGUGUAGAGGUGAAAUUCGUAGAUAUUCGCAAGAACACCAGUGGCGAAGGCGGCUGACUGGUCCGGUUCUGACGCUGAGGCGCGAAAGCGUGGGGAGCAAACAGG